GGUACGAAAAAUUAAAGACGAGCUCUUGAACAAACAUCGUUGUCUGUUAAGUAAAAAUACAUUUUUGGCUGUGUACACUGUAAAUAUUAUUUGAAGGCUAGACCGAUCUGUUCUAUGAUAUUUAUAAGUGGACAACUAUAUUGUUCACUUUUGUUUACUAUAUAUUGUCUACCAUGUCUUGUAUAGUUUAGUAUCCAGCUUCUUACGUGAACCAUGUUAACCUAUCAUACGUCGUCGGAUACUCAGUGUGUCAGGAUCAUCUGGUCUCUGGCCUCCAAUGCAGUAUAAUACUUAACUUGUUUGUACCUUGGAUGGGGGAUGGGAACGAUAAAUCGAUUUGUAGGACAACUUGUGGAAAGUAGUGACUCGAUUAUAAUUACUGACAUAUAUUUUCCAGUAUAAGAAGUAAUUGGCGUUAGAUAAUUUUUCGAAUUUUUCCAUUUACAAUUUGCACAAUAUUUCACGUAUAUUUAAAGUCGUGUUAGAUUUUAUUUUUUAUGGAAAAAAAAGAAACAUUCAUACUAAGAAAAACACAGUAACAUAAACUUGACUAUAUUCUCUAAUGAAUUUCCUAAAAGUGUCAUAAAAUAUUUGUAAAAUUAUGUCAGAAUAACAAGAAAUUAUCAGGAACGACAUUGACAUCUAUAUCGUAAGUGUAUUUUAUUUUUUUUUUCAAAAAAUAUUUUCAAAUUCGUCAACUCGAACCAAACUCGCUUUAAAGUACCUUCCAGAUAUCAGUACAUUACGAAUAAUCAAUAAUCGCCAAGAUAAUGCAGCAAGAACAAUACCGGAAGUUCCACGUAGCAUCCAUCGACCCCGCUUUGACCGGCAGGAAGUCGUCCGGGACCGGUCGUCAGCCGCACCAGUUUCCUUCUUCCUUUUUAUCGUUAGUCCUUUUUUUAUCGACCGUGAGUUGCCCCCCCACCACCAACCGUCAAACAAAUUUCAUCAAUGGCUAUCUAUCAACUAUUCACUCAAGUUCGGAUAAGAGUGAUCGAAGUCUCGCUCUUUCACCCAUGAUAACGGAAACAAGGAUCGCGUUUCUUAGACAGUAAGUCUGCUGUUAUUAUCAAUCCCGUCGAACUCGUUUUUAACGAGCUUGUUAUUAAUAGCUCUUGCCAUCUCGUAACUGUGUUACGUUUUAUUGUCUUUCUUUUUUUUUGCUCGCCCCUUUCAUUUUAUAUUCCCGCAUCUGGCAUUCAAGACGGAUUUUAAUUACGCCAUUGUGAAUUCAUUCGAUAAUUUCGAGUCUUCCGCUUGAUUCAAUUGUCUAUAAAAGUUUUGGCUGUGUCAUACGAGGAAGGUCUGCCGCCUUUUUUCGUAUUCCAGGAAACGAAAGAGGCGUUGUCGCCUACAUGAAAAUGCUAUACGGACCUAAUACGUCAGAGCGUGGUAAAGUGCACGUGAGUUUUCACGAAAACGUUUUUUCGUGCUGCAUCGCAAUACACGCUGAUUCAGCACAGAGACAAUAAUAAGAACGUCCGAGCUUUACGUAUUUUCCCGAAGUAUUUUCCGCGUAAAUAAAAUAAGAAGUAAGAAAUAAAGGAAAACAAAAAAUCGAAAUUCGACGAUCGGAGGAGAAGGGACGCCAGAGAGUGACUGUAAAAGUAAAAAUUCAUAAUUACGAACGUCAAGACCAGAAGCAAUGAACCAACGGAAAGUGAAGAGUUACGGGCGACCGUUGGUAAUGUACACAAAAUUCAAAAUUUACGAACACACAUUGUCACGUUAAAAUGUACCUAUGGUGCAUUCUGGGUCUCGUAUACCAGGUCAAUAAUACUUGCGAUAGUAAAUGUCAAGAAAGUCCGUAGGAGUUUCGCAGAAUAGGCGGACAUUUACGAUCCCGCGUCUCCGGUCGUUGCAUCCUGGUUUGCUGCAGGGGUGGCAAGACUCGCCUUCAUGGCAUCGUGGCCGUGGGCGCGAGCAUUCUCCAAAAUAGUACAACCCUUGGUGACUCAGGUCGCCUAUUAUCCACUCUGAGUCAACUGACGCCUCCGUUAUAAUUUCUCGUAGGAUUAAAAGAAGCCUCCCUAACCCCCAAAACAAAUUGUAUCGGGUAGACAGGUAUUGUUAUUUUGUGAAAUUUUCAAAGAGUGAAUCUACGGAUAUAAAUAUUGUCCUUUGUUUGUCUGCAAUUGAAGAAAUAAAAUUUUAUAUGAUAAA